GAUGAACGCUGGCUACAGGCUUAACACAUGCAAGUCGAGGGGAAACGACGGGGAAGCUUGCUUCCUUGGGCGUCGACCGGCGCACGGGUGAGUAACGCGUAUCCAACCUGCCUCUGACUGAGGGAUAACCCGUCGAAAGUCGGCCUAAUACCUCAUGGCAUCGUCUGCGGGCAUCCAACGACGAUUAAAGAUUUCAUCGGUCAGGGAUGGGGAUGCGUCUGAUUAGCUUGUUGGCGGGGUAACGGCCCACCAAGGCGACGAUCAGUAGGGGUUCUGAGAGGAAGGUCCCCCACAUUGGAACUGAGACACGGUCCAAACUCCUACGGGAGGCAGCAGUGAGGAAUAUUGGUCAAUGGGCGAGAGCCUGAACCAGCCAAGUAGCGUGCAGGAUGACGGCCCUAUGGGUUGUAAACUGCUUUUAUGCGGGGAUAAAGUGCAGGACGUGUCCUUCAUUGCAGGUACCGCAUGAAUAAGGACCGGCUAAUUCCGUGCCAGCAGCCGCGGUAAUACGGAAGGUCCGGGCGUUAUCCGGAUUUAUUGGGUUUAAAGGGAGCGUAGGCCGUGGAUUAAGCGUGUUGUGAAAUGCAGGUGCUCAACGUCUGCACUGCGGCGCGAACUGGUUCACUUGAGUGUGCACAACGCAGGCGGAAUUCGUCGUGUAGCGGUGAAAUGCUUAGAUAUGACGAAGAACUCCGAUUGCGAAGGCAGCUUGCGGGAGCACAACUGACGCUGAAGCUCGAAAGUGCGGGUAUCGAACAGGG
rnacentral:rRNA from 1 species